rnacentral:pre_miRNA from 1 species
UUAUAGCAGAAGGAGGAGGAGGUAUUCAUUUGAGGGAGCUUUCUUCUGUCCACCCAUGGGAGGUAGCGGGGAUUGAACGAGCUGCCGACUCAUUCACUCGAACACACAGUGGAUAACUGGAUAUGCAGACUAAUCCAAGGCAUAAUAUCUACUAGUGUGGAAUAAUAUCUACUGUGUGAAUGAGCGAAUGAAGCGGGAGAUUGUUCUCUCUUUCCUCCUCCAUGCUUGGACUGAAGGGAGCUCCCUCACCUCUCAUCACUUUCUCCCUCUUCUCCUUGAU